rnacentral:rRNA from 1 species
UACAGAGGUCCCAAGCGUUGUUCGGAUUCAUUGGGCGUAAAGGGUGCGUAGGCGGCGCGGUAAGUCGGGUGUGAAAUCUCGGAGCUUAACUCCGAAACUGCAUUCGAUACUGCCGUGCUUGAGGACUGGAGAGGAGACUGGAAUUUACGGUGUAGCGGUGAAAUGCGUAGAUAUCUGGAGGAACACCGGUGGCGAAGGCGGCAUCCUGGACCAACACUGACGCUGAGUGAGCGAAAGCCAGGGGAGCAAACGGGG